rnacentral:rRNA from 1 species
AUGAAGGGGUUAGCAGAUGAACUGGCUGCUGCAGGAAAGCCCCUCGAGGAGGAUGAUAUCGUCUUGCACAUCCUCGAGGGCCUCAUGCAUGAGCCCGACUAUAACGGGUUCGUCACCUCCAUCUCCACGCACGCUGCCACCGAUCGGCCGAUCGGUCUCAGCGAACUCUUCUCGUUGCUGCUCUCUGCGGAGGCCCGGAUCACCGCCCAGCACGCCGCCUUCUCCGCUCAUCACUCCGCCAACCUCGCUGCGAAAGGUGGUCGUGGUGGCUACGGU